GGGGGGGGGGGGGGGGGGUGUGUGUGUGAGGAGGGGGGGGGGCGAACCUGCCGCGCACCCCCACGCAGGGACACGCGCCUCCGGCCGCCGCGGGCGUCCCCAGCGCCGCCAACGCCCCCUCGGGCUGCCCUCAGGACACUAACCAUCUAAUACUAACUAACUUAUCAAAGUUACAUCUCUAACUCUGUCAACCAUGAAAGACUAGAGAAAACAUAACUGAGAUAGACGAGUGCCAGGAGAAGCUAACCAGCUUGCCUUCCGUGAGGGUGAGCUUCCGUGGAAGCUUCCCGAUUGCUUGCAAAGGCACAGAUUGCCCAAAUCGUUCUGAACGUGCAAAGCAGAUUUCAGAUAUUUAUUACGAAGUGGUGGACAGGUUGCAGGCUUGAUGUACUGCCUAGAGAUGGUCCCAGAGUGCGAAAGAAUGACCAAGAGAGAAGAGGGCAUCUUGUAGGCGACUCCUUGGAGUCUCCAGACUUCAGGACAAAGAAGAAGAGGAGAAAAUUAUGACAGCAGAAAAAUCUAUGCAAAUAAAUCUGGAGUAAUGAGAGGGAAAGGCAGAAAAAGUUCAAAGCGAACAUGUGAGGUCUCCGAUGACUCCUCGAGCAAAGUUAUGAGAGAAUUAGCCUUCCUGGUAGCUUAAAGGUGAAAAAACAAGAAGAAAAUCCCUUCCUCUUACACAUUUUAUCAUGCAUGUAGCCUUCUUAAUAAAUUAUUGAGAAACAUGCCAA